rnacentral:lncRNA from 1 species
CACACACACACUCAGCUGUUUAGUGCUGAUUAUCUUUGUUUAGUGCUGAUUAUCUUCCUCUUGCAGUUUCUUCCAUCUCACAGAUCCCUUUCCCUUCGCCAGUCUCAAGGAUGAGUGUGAGUGGAAAUGCCGACGCCGAUACCAUGCCUCGGUUUUGUAAGCCUGAGGUCCCAGGAAGCAUCCAGAGACUCUCCCUCAUCAGCCCGCCUCAAGAUGGCAGAAUCGGUCAGUCGUUUUGGUUGAAAGGAAAUGGAAAAUAGUGGGAUGUUGAUAUUGAUGUUUAUGUUUGGUAUUAUUACUGGUACUAUUACUAUUAUUAUUAUUAGUUCAUUUUUACAGUUGAAAGACACCUCAUAUAUACAUAACGUGCCUA